rnacentral:sRNA from 1 species
UCAUCUUACCAUCUAUUUGUGCACAAAUGC